rnacentral:sRNA from 1 species
ACGAUCAAUAUCUAUUUUAUCAAUCGUUUAUAUCGAUCGAUAAGCUAAUAAUAACCUUUGUCAGUAACAUGCACAGAUACGUACAGAAAGACAUUCAGGGAACAACAGAACCACAAUUCAGGAACUCCCACAGCCGGACCUCCGGCACUGUAACCCUUUACCU